UUCGCUAACCUAUUGAUUUUCUGCAGCUCUUUGUUUGGAAUUUACUCCUAUUGAUUUUCUGCAGCAGCGAUAUUAGAAUUAUGGGUUAUGGGAGAAGUUUUUUUUAAAGACGAUGUGCAUAUCGAUAUCAAUUUUGGUCAGAUUUAUUUGAGUAAACCUAUGAAGAUCACAUGGAUUCUACACUCUUCGUUUGCUGUAACAACUUUGGGAAUGGAUGCUAAAGGGUGGGUUGAUCUAAGAAUGUUAAUUUUGCAUCCUGGGUUCGAUCUCUGGGUUUUUCUUAAGUCCGUUCUAUGUUUUUGUUGCAUGUUCAUUGAUUUUUCUUAAGUCCUAUGUUCUGUAACUUCGUUUUUUCUA